UCCUCGAUGGUCUAACGGUCAUGAUUUCCGCUUGUCACUCCAAUGAGAACGAGCGCGGGAGACCAGGGUUCGACUCCCUGUCGGGGAG
rnacentral:tRNA from 4 species